ACAUUUUGUUCUAACGCGUGGCUGGUUAGUAGCGAGACAAAGAUCGUCUAUUUUGGGAUCAUGCGCACUUUCCUUUUGGUUUCUGUGGCCGGAAAACUUAAAACGUUGGCAAUUUUUCUCGACACUUAUUUUCUCCGGCGGCAGGGUGGGGAAGCUCUAGAGCGUUUGGCCCCACAGUUCUGAGGACCGGGGUUCGAAUCGCGGCCGCGCCCGUGCCUGCGUGGGAUUUCUCCGGGCACUCGGGUUUCCUCCCACAUCCCCAAAACAUGCAUUCGCUAGAGACUCCUAGUUGUGAUUCUGUCAGCCUCUCUCUCACGCAGACAGAAAAACACAAACACCGGCCACGUGUUCAGCUCUGAAGAACUCCCAUUUCCAUCCUAUAAAGUUUUCCGAUUUGUGUCCCCCUAACUGCCAUGGGUCCCCACGAUGUGAGUAUUUUAAAUGAUUUCCAUGCAUCCAUUUUCUUAGCCGCUGAUCCUCAAGGGUCCCCGGGGGUGCUGGAGCCAAUCCCAGCUGUCAUUGGGCAGGAGGCAGGGUACAUCCUGAACUGGUUGCCAGCCAAUCGCAGGACACAAAGAGACAAACAGCAUUUCACGCUGACAUCGAAACACCUUCCUAGUAUAUUCAUUUUCGGUUUCCCGAAUGGAGGCUGUGAUUUUUCCGUCCCUGCACUGCAAGAGGUCCCCAAGAUGUGACAAUAUAAAUCUUGACAGGAAUGUUCAGGGAAGCUCUGCAUUCAUCCCAUGAGGUUUCCCCUUAUGAUGACCAGAUUUGUGGUUCCUACACCACAAUGUCCCCAAGACAUGAUUGCGUAGAUAGACUUGUGUCUCCGUUACAGUAAAUACUAGAACACACACACGCUGAUGGAAUGACAUGCCAAAGGCCAGUGCAAAUAAAACUCUUCAAAAUA